rnacentral:miRNA from 1 species
AGGGCCGAAGGGUGGAAGCUGC